GAAAGGGUUUGUCCCGCCACCGCCAUGCUCCCCACCCAUUUCUGAGACUGGUUGGGUCUCAGGGGCCCAAACCUGGGGAAUGAUGGGAAAUUCAUAAUGGCAGACCUCCAGAACCCACCCCGGGGACCCCCAAAGUCCUGAUUCAGAUGGGAGAGCGGAGCCGGGAAGAUCCUGCCUCCGGCUCCAGCCACCUCCCCCGCCCCGCCCAGCACCGCAACCCAGGGAAGAGCUGAGCAGCCCGAGGGACCCCCUCACAUCGGGCCAGAGACACCCAGCUUUCUCCCUCACCUCCGGCAAACCAGGUUCUGGUCACGUGGGAUGGGAGUGGGGAGGCUGGUUGGACCCAACACCCCCUCUCCCAGUUCCUCCCUUCAGCGCCACCUCCCUCCCCUCCCUGACGCCCCUGAAAUGACAUCAAGAUGUACCACAGCGA